ACCUCUUUUACCUUCCACGAUCUCUCUCUCUCUCUCUCUCUCUCAACCAACCGUACGAGCGCCAUUCAUUGAUCUUGACAGCGUUAAGAGGCGGGAGAAGCCCGUCACUGUGAUUUGCCGUUGAUUGAUCUUGGUUAUCAGCCACUUGCUCCACCAUUGCUUUGGUCAUCGAUUGACUUGAAAUCAAACAGGUAUACAGACCCACGGCUUUGUUUAGAUAGUUCUCCAACUCUUUCCUAAUUUUUUCAUUGUUGAAUUUAUGGGUGCUAUUUACAUGGUUCAAAAUUUGUUUCAGUGUUGAUUGAGUUGCUUGCAGAGGUCUCAUCUGGAUUGUCAAGAUCAAUUAUCUAGGUUGGGCUUAUUGUUGAUCUGUUUAAUGCGCGCUUGUGUUCUCCCGAUUGCCGCCGACAACUCCACCUCUCUCUACCAGUUCAAUGUGUUCAACUCUUGCUGGUCGUGAGUUAGCUGCAGUUUGAUAGGUCACAUACCAAGACUAGUUUAGACUGGCUGCGAUGAGGCAUUGGUGACAUAACAACUCAAAUGUAGGGAAACUGGGGCAACAUAUUAUGCAGGAACAUGUUGUUGGAGCAAUGCUCUUUGAGUAAAUACUGACUGAAAAUGUGUCAUCUCGUUUUAUUGGAGCGUACAUAUCAUGUGUUGAUUGUACAGGGAGAAAGGAAAGAAGAAGUUACUGAGAAGUUGUCAUCACAGGUCUUAGUGCGUCUUCCAGAAUUUUUCGGUUGAAGGAAUGCAAAAAUUUUAGGUUGAGGGAAGCUGGAUUAACUCGGGGAAUCAUUAUGUAGGGCAAUUUAUUUGUAUUUCGUAUGUACUUUUCGUGUCGAAAGAUAACUUGAAGACGUGUAUU